UGUGAACAUACCUCGCGUUGCCUCGGCAGGUGGCGUCUCGCCCCGUAAGAACCUACCCUGUAGGACCUUACCCGGUAGACGACCCUGCCGACGGCCCCCGAAACUCUGUUUUAUAGCAUUAAACUUCUGAAAACAUAACUAAAUAAGUUAAAACUUUCAACAACGGAUCUCUUGGUUCUGGCAUCGAUGAAGAACGCAGCGAAAUGCGAUAAGUAAUGUGAAUUGCAGAAUUCAGUGAAUCAUCGAAUCUUUGAACGCACAUUGCGCCCACUAGUAUUCUGGUGGGCAUGCCUGUUCGAGCGUCAUUUCAACCCUUAAGCCCCUGUUGCUUAGCGUUAGGAGCCUACCGGAACUCUCUGGUAGCUCCCCAAAGUCAGUGGCGGAGCCGGUUCGCACUCCAGACGUAGUAGCUUUUACACGUCGCCUGUAGCGCGGGCCGGUCCCCUGCCAUAAAACACCCCAAUUUUUAUAGGUUGACCUCGGAUCAGGUAGGAAUACCCGCUGAACUUAAGCAUAUCAAUAA
rnacentral:rRNA from 1 species